rnacentral:lncRNA from 1 species
UCCCAUUUUCAUUCCCAUCAUUCCCAUUAUUCCCAUUGUUAUUGCCAUUGUUAUUCCCAUUCCCAUUGUUAUUCCCAUUCCCAUUAAUUCCCACUAUCCCCAUCACUCCCAUUCCUGUUAUUCCCAUUAUUAUUCCCAUUGUUAUUGCCAUUGUCAUUCCCAUUGUUAUUCCCAUUAUUCCCAUUGUUAUUCCCAUUGUCAUUCCCAUUAUCUCCAUUAUCAUUCCCAUUAUCAUUCCCAUUAACAUUCCCAUUAUCUCCAUUUUCAUUCCCAUUAUUAUUCCCAUCAUUCCCAUUGUCAUUCCCAUUGUUCCCAUUGUCAUUCCCAUUAUUAUUCCAAUUAUUAUUCCCAUUAUUAUUCCCAUUAUCAUUCCCGCUGUUAUUCCCAUUGUUAUUCCCAUUUUCAUUCCCAUUUUCAUUCCCAUUAUUCCCAUCGUUAUUCCCAUUGUUUUUAUUCCCGUUUUUCCCAUUGUUAUUCCCAUUGUAAUUCCCAUUGUUAUUCCAAUUGUCAUUCUCAUUAUUCCCAUUGUUAUUCCCAUUGUCAUUCCCAUUAUCAUUCCCAUUAUCUCCAUUUUCAUUCCCAGUAUCAUUCCGAUCAUUCCCGUUGCCAUUCCCGCUGUUUUCGUUCCCGUGGUAUAUCCCGUUUAUACCCCGCUGUCAUUCCCGCCGUUUUCAUGGCCGUGGUAUAUCGCGUUUAUACCCCGCUGUCGCAGGCUCGUUCUCGGCGACGCUGCCGCCGUACCAGCAGUCGGAGGUGAUGCUGUUCAUCAUCAACAAGGUGCCCAUCCCCGACAACUCCCGGCAUUCCCAACAUUCCCGCAGCGUCCCGGAACAUUCCGGAGCCGAGGAU